AACAACAGGGAUUGCCCCAGUAACGGCGAGUGAAGCGGCAACAGCUCAAAUUUGAAAUCUGGCUCUCGGGCCCGAGUUGUAAUUUGUAGAGGAUGCUUUUGGUGAGGUGCCUUCCGAGUUCCCUGGAACGGGACGCCAUAGAGGGUGAGAGCCCCGUCUGGUUGGACACCGAUCCUCUGUAAAGCUCCUUCGACGAGUCGAGUAGUUUGGGAAUGCUGCUCUAAAUGGGAGGUAUAUGUCUUCUAAAGCUAAAUACCGGCCAGAGACCGAUAGCGCACAAGUAGAGUGAUCGAAAGAUGAAAAGAACUUUGAAAAGAGAGUUAAACAGUACGUGAAAUUGUUGAAAGGGAAGCGCUUGUGACCAGACUUGGGCUUGGUUGAUCAUCCGGGGUUCUCCCCGGUGCACUCUUCCGGCCCAGGCCAGCAUCAGUUCGCCCUGGGGGACAAAGGCUUCGGGAAUGUGGCUCUCUCCGGGGAGUGUUAUAGCCCGUUGCGUAAUACCCUGUGGCGGACUGAGGUUCGCGCAUUCGCAAGGAUGCUGGCGUAAUGGUCAUCAGUGACCCGUCUUGAAACACGGACCAAGGAGUCGUCUUCGUAUGCGAGUGUUCGGGUGUCAAACCCCUACGCGAAAUGAAAGUGAACGCAGGUGAGAGCUUCGGCGCAUCAUCGACCGAUCCUGAUGUUAUCGGAUGGAUUUGAGUAAGAGCAUACGGGGCCGGACCCGAAAGAAGGUGAACUAUGCCUGUGUAGGGUGAAGCCAGAGGAAACUCUGGUGGAGGCUCGCAGCGGUUCUGACGUGCAAAUCGAUCGUCAAACAUGGGCAUGGGGGCGAAAGACUAAUCGAACCUUCUAGUAGCUGGUUUCCGCCGAAGUUUCCCUCAGAUAGCAGUGUUGAACUCAGUUUUAUGAGGUAAAGCGAAUGAUUA
rnacentral:rRNA from 1 species